AUUGAACGCUGGCGGCAGGCCUAACACAUGCAAGUCGAACGGUAACAGGAAGACGCUUGCUUCUUUGCUGACGAGUGGCGGACGGGUGAGUAAUGUCUGGGAAACUGCCUGAUGGAGGGGGAUAACUACUGGAAACGGUAGCUAAUACCGCAUAACGUCGCAAGACCAAAGAGGGGGACCUUCGGGCCUCUUGCCAUCGGAUGUGCCCAGAUGGGAUUAGCUAGUAGGUGGGGUAACGGCUCACCUAGGCGACGAUCCCUAGCUGGUCUGAGAGGAUGACCAGCCACACUGGAACUGAGACACGGUCCAGACUCCUACGGGAGGCAGCAGUGGGGAAUAUUGCACAAUGGGCGCAAGCCUGAUGCAGCCAUGCCGCGUGUAUGAAGAAGACCUUCGGGUUGUAAAGUACUUUCAGCGGGGAGGAAGGGAGUAAAGUUAAUACCUUUGCUCAUUGACGUUACCCGCAGAAGAAGCACCGGCUAACUCCGUG
rnacentral:rRNA from 1 species